rnacentral:lncRNA from 1 species
CAGGGAAGAGAGAACUCCUGAUCUUAAUCCUGAAAAAGGAGCAGGAAUUUUCCAAGUAGACAAGGAGCGGAAGGGCAUUCCAAGCAGAGAAACAUCAUGAGUAAGGAGACAAAGGCCUGACGAAGAGAGGUGCCCCUGAGGAGUUGCAGAAGGGACACAUCAAGAGGAGAGCUUGAAGUGCGCAUUCCUGAGGGCUGAGGUCGUCAUUGUUUUCAGCACAGUGCAACUGCUGACGUGCACGAAGAAGACCAGCACAUCAAGAGGUGAAACUGGGUUUGCCUCAGGCACCCCAAAAGACUGGAAGGUGAUGCUUGGCCCUUCUAAGAAUGUAAGCUCCAAGAGAAUGAUGAAAAAUUUUGUCUGGUUUUCCCAUCAAUUUAUCCCCAAACUCAGUGCCUGGCAUUUAGUAGGCACUCAAUAAAACUUUGAAGAAUGAAUGAAGAGUUUAGCAAAGGUCUUAAGAUUUA